CGCGGGGUGGAGCAGUCUGGUAGCUCGUCGGGCUCAUAACCCGAAGGUCGCAAGUUCAAAUCUUGCCCCCGCAA
rfam:Gracilibacillus kekensis strain CGMCC 1.10681 genome assembly, contig: Ga0079828_105